ACACCUCAACUCUCAUGGCUUUGCCAUGAUGAGCUUGGACUUUGGGGGUCUUGCUGGCCUGUGGUCGGCUCCUCUCAAAUGAAUCAGCUUGCCAGUGUUUGGUGGCAUCACGGGUGUGAUAACUAUCUACGCUUGUGGUUUUCCACCAGGCAACCUUCAGUGAUGAAGGUUCGCUGGGGCUCAUAAAAUGUCUCUCCUCAGCGAGGACAGCUCUUUGAAC
rnacentral:misc_RNA from 1 species